rnacentral:rRNA from 1 species
UACGUAGGUGGCAAGCGUUGUCCGGAUUUAUUGGGCGUAAAGCGAGCGCAGGCGGUUUCUUAAGUCUGAUGUGAAAGCCCCCGGCUCAACCGGGGAGGGUCAUUGGAAACUGGGAGACUUGAGUGCAGAAGAGGAGAGUGGAAUUCCAUGUGUAGCGGUGAAAUGCGUAGAUAUAUGGAGGAACACCAGUGGCGAAGGCGGCUCUCUGGUCUGUAACUGACGCUGAGGCACGAAAGCGUGGGGAGCAAACAGG